rnacentral:rRNA from 1 species
GACGAACGCUGGCGGCGUGCUUAACACAUGCAAGUCGAACGGAAAGGCCCUGCUUGCAGGGUACUCGAGUGGCGAACGGGUGAGUAACACGUGGGUGAUCUGCCCUGCACUUCGGGAUAAGCCUGGGAAACUGGGUCUAAUACCGGAUAGGAGCCAUUUUUAGUGUGAUGGUUGGAAAGUUUUUUCGGUGUAGGAUGAGCUCGCGGCCUAUCAGCUUGUUGGUGGGGUAAUGGCCUACCAAGGCGGCGACGGGUAGCCGGCGUGGGAGGGUGGACGGCCACAGUGGGACUGAGACACGGACCAGACUCCUACGGGAGGCAGCAGUGGCGAAGAGUGCACAAUGGGCGCAAGCCUGAUGCAGCGACGCCGCGUGGGGGAUGACGGCCUUCGGGUUGUAAUCUCCUUUCGCUAGGGACGAAGCUUUUUGUGACGGUACCUAGAUAAGAAGCACCGGCUAACUACGUG